rnacentral:lncRNA from 1 species
GUGCUCGUCCGCGCUUGCUAUCUUGCUGACCCUCUGAGACUGCUGAAAGUGCCGUAUCACCAAACUGAUUCCGAUCGAUGGUACGGGAGCCACCGUAGUUCGGCAGCUGAUGAUAGCUCACAAUUAGCCGAUGCUCCCUUACACUGCUACUGCACUUUCCGUGCUCGACGGAGUCCAGCCGUGCAGCAGGUGAAUUCUUCCCCUGGUACAGCACAGAUGCCUUACCC